UCUCGGGCAAAAUAUCCUCAUAAGUUUGACGAAAAGAGGCUACCGUGAAAAUUAAGCCUGUUCUUCUAAAAUCUCAAUCUGCAAAGGUCCAGAUCAGGAAGGAUAAAUUAGUAGCGGUAUAAGAAAAUCGGAAGCCACGACUGUUUACUAAAAACACAAUUCAGAGCAAUGAUAAGUAUCAUAGUAUUCUGGAUGAAAUUUGCUCAAUGCCUGCAGUAUAAGAGAGGUAAUUUUUUAGUUACUAAUCGAAAGCCUGGUAAAUAGCGGUCUUAACUAUGAGGAUCCAAAGGUAGCAAAAUCAAUUGGCCAUUAAAUGUGGUCCAGUAUCAAUAAUGUAACGAUGGUUUCACUGUCUCUACAACUUGCUCAGUGAAAUUGAACUGUGAGUGCAGAUGCUCACUAACUCAAGGGGGACGGGAAGACCCUAUGCGCUUCUACUGA
rnacentral:rRNA from 1 species